AAUUCAAUAGCCACUCACCACAUUAACUUCUUGUAUUUAAAUAAUUCAAGAUCAAAGGAGAGGCGAAUCUACCAUCCAUUGUACGUAUGCUCCGGGAUUUGGAUUAGUCCACUAGGUCUGACCUAUAAAAUAAUUUCUCAAAACGUUUUUGAGAACAGAGGAGGCAUCUCUGAAUUUUAGGUCAGGCUCCCACAAAUUGCCAACCCUAUAAGACGUCAACUUGUUCUACCAUAGAAUAAAGGUGCUGGCUAACGGGUAUCUCAUCAACUCUUGAAGGCUUUUUAUUCUCAAAAUUUUCUUUUUGCAACCAA
rnacentral:lncRNA from 1 species